UUUUGCCAGCCCAGCCUCCAUUUCAAAGACUUUGUCUUCCAUCCUAUCCAAUGACAUGGUCAGGGAUGGGCUCUGAGGAGGCAGUGAGGCCCCACCUUGGUUUGCUCCACUGUGGUGUGUAGUCUCCAAACAGCUUAAGGGUUUUUAAGUUUUCUCACGAUUACCUCCACUCCACUCAUCUACUAUCAGCAUCAGAAAGGUUAACAUCCCUGGGACCAUUCUACUUAUAAAAGAGAUGAACUAGUGUGCUUUCUCCCCUUUUCCAGGUGUGCCAUCCAUAUACAAUCUCCUCUUGGCCAAGUUCAACAAAUGUUUCCAGGGAACCCCGUGGGUUGAGGCAAAGUAGCCAAGAUGUAUUGAGUUAAGUUUUUCUAGAGGACAAAAGUAUUUCUUGUCCCUUUUCCCUCAUGCUCAUAUGUUUUAGCUGAGGCGUAAAUGGCCAAGUUGAGUAAUAUCUGUGGAACUGAGACAGAGAGCCAGGGACCCAUGUACCCAGGGACCAGUCCCCUGGGGAAUCACACAGUGGCUCAGACUAGACUGCUCUAUCCCACCAGAACUCUGCUGCUGUUCAUUUCCAUCAGGACCACCCAGGAAAGCAAAUAAGUUAGCCUUCUCAUCAUUAGGUCACCUAAUCUCUUGGGUUGCAGGAUGAGAGCAUAUAUAGAUCUCCUGUUUAGAGAGUGUGUUCAUAAUUGUAGAAAGGGAUAGAAAAUGGAAUAACCAAGAGGCUGUGUCAUUUUUUAAGAGGAUGGCAAGGAUGACCUCAAAUGAGCUCAACAAAACUGGGAAUCCAAGGAAUGGUGCUUGUAGGGAAAGAGAGGUCAGUUGUGGUCCUUAAACCUCUUGGCACCUUGUGCGGGUUAUAAAACAAGGAGCUGGAGUAAAAUUGCCCUUACCCCCAAUCCAAAUGCUGUCCAGGAUUUAGGAGCUACCCAACCUGUGGUUAUAUGGUGUUGGUUUCCAUUUUUUGUUUGUUUGCUUGUUUCCAAAAUAGCCUUGCUUGGUACUGCAUGGAAAGUUCAAGCUUUUCUUCUUGCCCGCUCAGGGCUGGCCUCUUCCCCGUGUCUUCACAGCGUCCCUAAGGAAGAUUUUUGCAGCACUCUCUGGAGCUGAGGGGAGUGAAAUUUGGUCCAGAGAAGGCGGAAGGAAAUAGUUUUCCUGUUUCCUUUUCUCGAGGGCUGAGAAGAAAGGGGCACUGGUCCAGCCCCAGGUUUGGUCUGAGACAGGUACACAGCAGAUACCAUCCCACCUUCCUCUCUAAAGAACAGGCCAGCCACACAUAUAACCCUUUCCCUACUUUACUAAUGUAUCCCUUAUGUGGUACCAGCAAUGGAGGACAGGCAGACUUACCCCCUGCCAUCUAGAGAGAAUGUUGUUAUUACCCGUAAAACUUGACCACCCCCAUAUCCCACUCCUUUUUGUAAAAACAAAUGCUUAAACCUGUGAGCCUGCCGUUCCUUUCUAUGUGUUAAUCAGUUUCCUUCCAUUUGAGCUGUGUGGGAGGGAAGGGCAUUGAAAUUGUAGGUUGUAAUCUUGUGCCAACCAAUAAAAACCAGUAUUUCACACACAUCCCUUUUAGUGUCUGGUCUCUUCUUUCCAGAGGCUUCCCUUGAGUCCUUCAUGUCAGCCUUUUGGUUUCCCC
rnacentral:lncRNA from 10 species